rnacentral:rRNA from 1 species
UACGUAGGGGGCAAGCGUUGUCCGGAUUUAUUGGGCGUAAAGAGCGUGUAGGCGGCUAUACAGGUCCGCUGUGAAAACUCGAGGCUCAACCUCGAGACGUCGGUGGAAACCGUAUGGCUAGAGUCCGGAAGAGGAGAGUGGAAUUCCUGGUGUAGCGGUGAAAUGCGCAGAUAUCAGGAAGAACACUCGUGGCGAGGGCGGCUCGCUGGGACGGUACUGACGCUGAGACGCGAAAGCGUGGGGAGCGAACAGG